rnacentral:rRNA from 1 species
ACCUUUUGUAUAAUGGGUCAGCGACUUAAUUUAUGUAGCAAGCUUAAGCCGAUAGGUGUAGGCGUAGAGAAAUCGAGUGUUAACAGCGCGUUAAGUUACAUGAAUUAGACCCGAAACCGAGUGAUCUAGCCAUGAUCAGGUUGAAGGUUGGGUAACACCAACUGGAGGACCGAACCCACUCCCGUUGAAAAGGUAGGGGAUGAAUUGUGGCUAGGGGUGAAAGGCCAAUCAAACUCGGAAAUAGCUGGUUCUCCGCGAAAACUAUUUAGGUAGUGCGGUGAGCGGACACCUUGAGGGGUAGAGCACUGGAAGAGCUAAGGGGGAGCGAUCCUUACUAAACUUUACCAAACUCCGAAUACUCAAGAGUGAUACUCACCAGACAGACAUUAGGUGCUAAGGUCUAGUGUCGAGAGGGAAAGAGCCCAGACCGCCAAUUAAGGUCCCAAAAUUAUGGCUAAGUGGUAAAGGAAGUGAAACGUCCAAAACAGUCAGGAGGUUGGCUUAGAAGCAGCCAUCCUUUAAAGAAAGCGUAAUAGCUCACUGAUCUAAAUAAGACGUCUUGCGCCGAAGAUGUAACGGGGCUAAAGCCAUAUACCGAAGUUGCGGAUUUACACGUUAAAGUGUAAGUGGUAGCGGAGCGUUCUGUAAGCCUGCGAAGGUGUACCGUAAGGUAUGCUGGAGGUAUCAGAAGUGAGAAUGCUGACAUGAGUAGCGAAAAGAAGAGUGAGAGACUCUUCCGCUGAAAGUCCAAGGUUUCCUGCGUAAAGCUAAUCUGCGCAGGGUUAGUCGGUCCCUAAGGCGAGGCAGAGAUGCGUAGUCGAUGGCAAUCAGGUUAAUAUUCCUGAACCGGCCCGGAAGUGACGGAUUGAGUAAAUUGUAAGUUCUUAUUGGAUUGAGCUUGCAGUGAAUCAGUCCCAGGAAAUAGCCCGGGCUAAGACCGUACCCGAAACCGACACAGGUGGACAGGUAGAGAAUACCAAAGCGCUUGAGAGAACUAUGUUGAAGGAACUAGGCAAAAUACUUGCGUAACUUCGGGAUAAGCAAGCCCCAUUUUAAGGCAACUUAGGGUGGGGGGCACAUACUAGGGGGUAGCGACUGUUUACUAAAAACACAGGGCUCUGCUAAAUUGAAAGAUGAAGUAUAGGGUCUGACGCCUGCCCGGUGCUGGAAGGUUAAGGAGAGAUGUGCAAGCAUUGAACUGAAGCCCCAGUAAACGGCGGCCGUAACUAUAACGGUCCUAAGGUAGCGAAAUUCCUUGUCGGGUAAGUUCCGACCUGCACGAAUGGCGUAACGACUUCCCCGCUGUCUCCAACAUAGGCUCAGCGAAAUUGAACUCUGAGUUAAGAUGCUCAGUACCCGCGGUUAGACGGAGAGACCCCGUGAACCUUUACUAUAGCUUUGCAGUGGUAUUAGGUAACAAAUGUGUAGAAUAGGUGGGAUGCUAUGAAGCUACGACGCCAGUUGUAGUGGAGCAGACUUUGAAAUACCACCCUUUUGUUGUUUGAUAUCUAACCUGCUCCCGUUAUCCGGGAGAGGGACCCUGCAUGGUGGGUAGUUUGACUGGGGC